rnacentral:rRNA from 1 species
AGUGAACGCUGGCGGUAGGCCUAACACAUGCAAGUCGAACGGCAGCACAGUAAGAGCUUGCUCUUACGGGUGGCGAGUGGCGGACGGGUGAGGAAUACAUCGGAAUCUACUUUUUCGUGGGGGAUAACGUAGGGAAACUUACGCUAAUACCGCAUACGACCUACGGGUGAAAGCAGGGGAUCUUCGGACCUUGCGCGAUUGAAUGAGCCGAUGUCGGAUUAGCUAGUUGGCGGGGUAAAGGCCCACCAAGGCGACGAUCCGUAGCUGGUCUGAGAGGAUGAUCGGCCACACUGGAACUGAGACACGGUCCAGACUCCUACGGGAGGCAGCAGUGGGGAAUAUUGGACAAUGGGCGCAAGCCUGAUCCAGCCAUACCGCGUGGGUGAAGAAGGCCUUCGGGUUGUAAAGCCCUUUUGUUGGGAAAGAAAAGCAGCAGGUUAAUACCCCGCUGUUCUGACGGUACCCAAAGAAUAAGCACCGGCUAACCUCGUG